AAAAAAAAAUUAUUUUUCUUAAAAAUGAUUUAAUUUUUCCGCUAAUUAGAAAAUAUUUUUUAUUGACUAAUUUUACUGAUCGCCCCAAACACAAAAAAAAUGUGAAAAGUAUUUUUUAUAAAAUAAACAAUUUUAUAUAUGAGUCUAAAUUUUGAAAAUAAAAAAAAUUGCUUAGUAGUUACUUACUACCCUCUUUGUAUAUAUGUGUAAUCCGUGUCGGAUUGCCAUUAAUUACUCUUUCUUUGGGCCAGUAGUGAUUGCCAGUCGCCACUGAUUGGAGAAGGGCUUUAACAAAUUAACAGGCAGGCAUUUUUAGGCAACUAACUAUAAUCUAAAUGAAAAAUGCAGCCACAUAUUUGUGGGGUGGAAGUUCUGAUUAUUCUUCAAAAGGUAGAUAUUUUGAACUUGUGUAAUUGUGCGGCCCAAACUAUUGACAUACUUCUUAGAAGGUUUCUUGGUUGAUUUGAGGUCCGGAAUUCAAGUGUAUUCUUCGUGGGUUGGAUAUUGUUGAGAAUAAAAUUUUAAUUCGAUGAAAUAGGUUGAUAAAAGACAACCUAUUAUUGAGUGAACUUCCUAUUCUUUGAUUUUGUACUAUUGAGUCCAGGAAUUUACUUUCCAAUUUAAGGAUAUUAACAGGAAAAAAAAAAAAAGAGAAAGUUGUCGAGGACAAUCUAAAUUCUAAAGAACAAUUGCGCUAGUUUUUAGAAUUAUCUGAAACUGAAAUUGAAUUUUUGCAAUCAUGAUGCAGGAGCUGCAAGAUAGGGUGGCAAAGGCAAAGGAUUCCAAUGAAGAGAUGAUAAAAAUAUGGAAGGAGAUUGUCGACUUCCAUGGAGACAUGGUUUUGUUGGAGAAUUAUAGUGCCCUUAACUACACAGGUAGUUAAAUAUUUGCUUUAAUAUUUCUAUUGAGUUGAUAAUUUUGUUUAAUUUUUAGUUAUAUGAUUUGAACCUUUUGGGCAUACGAAUGUUUUUCCUUCUCAAGAUUUAUUCUGGACUCCAGACUUGUACUGCAGACUGAUACCUAUUGUUUCGAACAAUUUAAUUAACUUGCCAUGGUUUUAACAGGAUUGGUAAAAAUACUCAAGAAGUAUGACAAAAGAACUGGCGCUCUCAUUCGCUUGCCCUUCAUCCAGAAGGUCUUGCAACAGCCCUUCUUUACCACUGACCUGCUGUACAAGCUUGUGAAAGAGUGUGAGACAAUGCUUGAUCGCCUUUUCCCCAUAUAUGAAUCACCAUCAUUGGUUGAAGCAGUUGAUGGGGACGAAGGAUGUGAUCCUUCAACUUCGGCUACAACCAAGAAUGAUGGUCCUCUCAGAGUGCCCAAAGAACUUGCAGAGAUUGAGCUUAUGGAGAGUUCAUAUAUGAAGAGCACCAUUUCAGCAUUGCGGGUUUUGAAGGAAAUUCGGAGCAGAAGCUCUACUGUUAGUGUAUUUUCAUUGCCACCGCUGCAGUUGACUGGGUUGGAGGAUACUUGGAAGAAGGUUCCCAUUCUAGAACAGGUGGCCAAGUAAUUGGAUUUUGAGAAAGGAAAUAGAGCCAGAUAUCACUUUGUUUUGUAAUAUUACUCUUUUCCCUCACCUCCUCUUUUUUGGGUUAUCUUUAGCUCAUAUUUUAGAUACUAACACAGAUGUAAAAGUAAUGUUUAAUUCAAGCUGAAAUGAAUAUUGUACAAGGACAAGUUCUGAUAAAAGUAUCCUUGCACUCUUUGGAAGUUGAAAAAUUGGUGAAAC
rnacentral:misc_RNA from 1 species